AGUGAACGCUGGCGGUAGGCCUAACACAUGCAAGUCGAACGGCAGCACAGUAAGAGCUUGCUCUUACGGGUGGCGAGUGGCGGACGGGUGAGGAAUACAUCGGAGUCUACUUUUUCGUGGGGGAUAACGUAGGGAAACUUACGCUAAUACCGCAUACGACCUACGGGUGAAAGCAGGGGAUCUUCGGACCUUGCGCGAUUGAAUGAGCCGAUGUCGGAUUAGCUAGUUGGCGGGGUAAAGGCCCACCAAGGCGACGAUCCGUAGCUGGUCUGAGAGGAUGAUCAGCCACACUGGAACUGAGACACGGUCCAGACUCCUACGGGAGGCAGCAGUGGGGAAUAUUGGACAAUGGGCGCAAGCCUGAUCCAGCCAUACCGCGUGGGUGAAGAAGGCCUUCGGGUUGUAAAGCCCUUUUGUUGGGAAAGAAAAGCAGCAGGUUAAUACCCCGCUGUUCUGACGGUACCUAAAGAAUAAGCACCGGCUAACUUCGUG
rnacentral:rRNA from 1 species